UCGAAAUCUACAAACAGAACUCUCGAGUCUCAGCUCCUCUUCGGCGUCUCCGUAAUGGCUUUUCACCGUUCAAACGCCGUUGCUCUUCAUAUCUCCUAUUUCUUACUGUCGAGGAAGGCUUUCCCCUGAGAUAACCCCUUCUUUCUUCCUCCCAAAAGCUCCCAAUUCUUCAAACUAGGAAUGCUUUUUCUUUGAGGUGAAGGCCUUCCCCGACGGACUGGAAUUGAAGAAUUGAAGAGCAGAGGCGUUUCUGAGCGAAUUUCGACUCUGUUGUCAACGAUUUAUAUCUAUGCACCUAAAAACUGCCGUUCAAGGGAUCCAAGGCACCGGGGGUGCUGCUGCCGAAUAUGCCAUUAGUACAAGGGAUCCAAGGUAGCCGUGGAUGCUGCUACCGAUUGGUGAUGGACAGCUGUAGCGUCCAUCUAAACCUUCCAUUCAAAAUCUUGACAAAUAGAAUAUUUAUUUUUGAAAAUUUUGAAUAGAUGACUUAGAUAGCACCAAGCUGGUACGGGACCGUCUGAGCUGGCAACUUCUUGUUGCCGUUGCCAACUUUUCACGGAAAUGGAGCCUCUUCAAUUUCUAUUGUCCAGUUAUGUAAACUGAUAGAAUUUUGGUAUAAAUUGGUGCAAUUUUGAUAUAAA